rnacentral:rRNA from 1 species
AUUGAACGCUGGCGGCAUGCCUUACACAUGCAAAUCGAACGGUAACGGGCCUUCGGGUGCCGACGAGUGGCGAACGGGUGCGUAUUACAUCGGAACGUGCCCGAUCGUGGGGGAUAACGAGGCGAAAGCUUUGCUAAUACCGCAUACGAUCUACGGAUGAAAGCAGGGGACCGCAAGGCCUUGCGCGGACGGAGCGGCCGAUGGCAGAUUAGGUAGUUGGUGGGAUAAAAGCUUACCAAGCCGACGAUCUGUAGCUGGUCUGAGAGGAUGAUCAGCCACACUGGGACUGAGACACGGCCCAGACUCCUACGGGAGGCAGCAGUGGGGAAUUUUGGACAAUGGGCGCAAGCCUGAUCCAGCCAUGCCGCGUGCAGGAUGAAGGCCUUCGGGUUGUAAACUGAUUUUGUACGGAACGAAAAGCCUUCUUUUAAUACAGGAGGGUCAUGACGGUACCGUAAGAAUAAGCACCGGCUAACUACGUG